UGAUGAGUUGCGACUAAGAUUUUGAGUAUAGGAUGGUGUUAUUUUGCCACUAUUUGGACUGGAACACAAUCUAGCAGUCAGUAAUCAUGUCUUCCACCUCUUGAGUCAGUCUACCAAACAUUGAUGUGGAGGUCCGAUUUAGAACUUCAGUUGAAGUGUUUUCAUCAUGAAGAUAGACAAAUGAAUACAAAUUGGCCGGCAUCUGCAACGAUCAGUGUUAACGCAACUCCAUUACAAAUACAGCGUGCAGAAAAAUAAAACGGCACAUCGGCCACUUUACCUCAAGGAAGUUUGCCGGCCGGGUCAAAAUACAAUACAGAUCACUGUUACUGCAUGUUGUUGUUCUCAUUUAUUUGUUCUACAACUGGUACAUUGGCCAAGUGUUGGGCCAGUACUUC
rnacentral:lncRNA from 1 species